GUUUUCGGUGGACACAACAUCUUUGUUUGUAUGUGGUGCUAAGGAUCAAACCCGGGCCGCAUGCAUGCCAGGCAAGCGCGCUACCGCUUGAGCCACAUCCCCAGCCCAAAGCUUUUAAUUUUGGUCACCAUGUGGUAAGCUGUAUUUCUCCACCCUGCUCUUCAGCCACGAUGUGUCACCUAGCUUCAGGCUCAGAGGAAUGGAAUUGGCAGUCUAUGGAUACUUCUCAAACUCCCAUAUACAGGCUAUCUGCAAACUUAGGGAGCUGCAGCUUUAAAAGGCAAACACUUCUUGACAACCCUAAGGUGGAUACCCCAUUCGAAGCCAUCUUCAUCUUUCUCCUGGACAGUAAAGUAGCCUCUUACCUGGUUUCUCUAUAACAUAUUCUCCACACAACAGCCACUGUUACUUCUAGAUGUGUCAAACUUAUUGGUUGUUUUGCAGAAAUUGAUGAUGUGACUCUUAAAUUCAUAUGGAAUUUCAAGGGUCUCUGAGUAGCCAAAACAACCUUGAAAAAGAAAAGUUGGAGGACUCAUACUUUUCAGUUUCUCACACAUUCUACAAAACUCCAAAUCAUCAGGACUGUGUGGUCCUAGCAUAAGGAUAAAACUUUGUGCAGUAUCUUACAUGAGAAAGGAAGAGAAGGUUUCACGAAGGAGCGAUUGUGUCACAAACUGAGAGAGUGAGUAAAAUGAAGACUAAGAACUGCGUUGGAGGUCACUGAAGAACAGUUUCAGCAGUGUUGACAGGAGGGUAGAGUAGAUUUGAGAAAGAGUAGGAAAGGAGGAAGUAGAAACAAAGACUCUUUCAAGGAGUUUUUUCUUUAUCUUCUUUUUAUCUUAGUAUUUUUGGGGGGUGAUACUGGGGAUUGAACUCAGGGGUACUCAACCACUGAGCUACAUCCCCAGUCCUAUUUUUUUUUUAAAUCUAUACAUCAAAUAAAUAGAAUAAGGAGUCCAGGGGCUGGGAUUGUGGCUCAGCGAUGGAGUGCUCGUCUAGCAUGUGCAAGGCCCUGGGUUCGAUCCUCAGCACCACAUAUAAAUAAAGGUAUUGCAUGCGACUACAACUAAAAAGUAAAUAAAUAUUUUAAAAAAGAGUAAGGAGUCCAGAAGUAAACCUACACAUUAAUGGUCAAUUGAUUUUUUUUCCUAUAUUUUUUAUUGGCAUAUUAUAGUUGUACAUAAGGGUGGGAUUUAUUGUUACAUAUUAGUAUGUGUACACAGCCAUCCUGAACUGGAUGAUACUCAAAAAGAAUGUUAUCCAGGCUGAGGAUAUAGCUCAGUUGGUAGAGUGUGUGCCUAUAUGCACAAGGACCAGGGUCCAAUCCCCAGCACUACAGAAAAUAAUAAUAAUAAUAAAAGAAUAUUACUCCAAAUUCCAUAAUCCUUUAUAUGUACAGAAAUAGCCCAGAGUCAAGAAAGAACAGUUGAAAGAAUUUAUCAUUCUUAGACUAUGACUCUCCUUUCCAUUUAUUUCUCAAAACAACAGAGCAAAGCAGAAAUCAAGAAGCAAAAACAUAACUCAGAUGCUGCAGCCAACUGUCUAUUAUUUCACAAUCUGCCCACACCUUAAAUAAACAGGAAAGGUUAUAACUAGCUACAGGCAGACACUACAGAAAACAGACCAUAAGAAACCCUCAAACAUCCAGCCUCCAUCUUUCUUCUACAGGAUACUUACUUCUUUUCAUGACCACAAAUGCCUCUCACAAUAAGUUGAAGUCAGGCGUGAUGCAUGGGAUGACCAAAUACCUUUUUCAGGAUUAGUAAUUUUCUGAUGAACAUGUGGAAAAAAUAUCAGAAAAAUAUCUGUUAUUAGGGGGAACAAAUAUUAAAAUUUCCAUUUGAAUAUUAGAAAUUAUAUUGACAUUUAAGCAACAAGACAUAUUUGGAGUUGAAUGAGAGUAUAUAUUUCUUUGGAUCUUUUAAAAAAAAUCUGUAUGUGAUAAUAAUUAUGGUAAAGUUGGAUCACAGUAGCACCUCUCUCAUCCAAAGCAACAUCAGAAUAACAAGAGAAUCCUGAUAAGCAGAAUAUCAGCAGCAGAGAUUAUACUUUUUCUCUUGUGUAUACAUAAGCAAAUGAAUGGAGGCUUUGACUUAGCAUCAACUAACCCUGUGCUUAAAAUGAGAGCUUGGGAAAACUCAAGAAUUUGAUGUCAAUUAAUCUGUUUUGGGGGGCUAUAAAUGUUAAAAAGAUUUUCAUUCUGUUUUGAAACAAAAUAAAAAGACCUCGAACUACAGAGAGUAUGCCCUGACACUGUACAGGGCAAACCUGUGAAUUAAGAUGGGGGAGGAUUGGGAAUGUACGGGUAUACGUGUAGGAUUGCAGUUUUAAAUGUUAUAACGACAACACUGGAACAAAGUUUUUGCAGGAAUGUGAUAGUUUUAUGUGUCAACUUGACUAGACUAUAUUUCUGGAUUAUUGAAUCAAAUACUAAUCUAGGUAUUACUGUGAAGGUUUUUUGGAGAUGUGGUUAACAUGUGACUGUAGGAACCAUGUCCACAUACUUUGACCCUAAGUAAAAGACUACCCUCAAUAAUGUGGACAGGCCUCAUCUACUCAGUUAAAAGGCUUAAAAACCAAAUUAGGGCUUCCUAAAUGAAGAAUAAAUUCUGCCUCAAGAUUCUAACAUCAACUUCUACCUUAAAGUCUCCAGUCUAUCUGCCUAACCUAGAGAUUUUGGAUUUGCCAGUCCCCACAAC